AUUGAACGCUGGCGGCAGGCUUAACACAUGUAAGUCGAGCGGGGUGAUGGUGCUUGCACUAUCACUUAGCGGCGGACGGGUGAGUAAUGCUUAGGAAUCUGCCUAUUAGUGGGGGACAACAUCUCGAAAGGGAUGCUAAUACCGCAUACGUCCUACGGGAGAAAGCAGGGGAUCACUUGUGACCUUGCGCUAAUAGAUGAGCCUAAGUCGGAUUAGCUAGUUGGUGGGGUAAAGGCCUACCAAGGCGACGAUCUGUAGCGGGUCUGAGAGGAUGAUCCGCCACACUGGGACUGAGACACGGCCCAGACUCCUACGGGAGGCAGCAGUGGGGAAUAUUGGACAAUGGGGGGAACCCUGAUCCAGCCAUGCCGCGUGUGUGAAGAAGGCCAUAUGGUUGUAAAGCACUUUAAGCGAGGAGGAGGCUCUUUUGGUUAAUACCCAAGAUGAGUGGACGUUACUCGCAGAAUAAGCACCGGCUAACUCUGUGCCAGCAGCCGCCGCAG
rnacentral:rRNA from 1 species